UACGUAGGGAGCAAGCGUUGUCCGGAAUUACUGGGUGUAAAGGGAGCGCAGGUGGGAUGGAAAGUUGGAUGUUUAAUCUACGGGCUCAACCCGUAUCAGCAUUCAAAACUAUCAUUCUUGAGUGGAGUAGAGGCAGGCGGAAUUCCAGGUGUAGCGGUGGAAUGCGUAGAUAUCUGGAGGAACACCAGUGGCGAAGGCGGCCUGCUGGGCUCUAACUGACACUGAGGCUCGAAAGCGUGGGUAGCAAACAGG
rnacentral:rRNA from 1 species